UACGGAGGGGGCUAGCGUUGUUCGGAAUUACUGGGCGUAAAGCGCACGUAGGCGGGUCGUUAAGUCAGGGGUGAAAUCCUGGAGCUCAACUCCAGAAUUGCCCUUGAUACUGGCGAUCUCGAGUUCGGGAGAGGUGAGUGGAACUGCGAGUGUAGAGGUGAAAUUCGUAGAUAUUCGCAAGAACACCAGUGGCGAAGGCGGCUCACUGGCCCGAUACUGACGCUGAGGUGCGAAAGCGUGGGGAGCAAACAGG
rnacentral:rRNA from 1 species